GAUGAACGCUGGCGGCGUGCUUAACACAUGCAAGUCGAACGAUGAUGCCCAGCUUGCUGGGUGGAUUAGUGGCGAACGGGUGAGUAACACGUGAGUAACCUGCCCUUGACUCUGGGAUAAGCCUGGGAAACUGGGUCUAAUACCGGAUACGACCAUCUGGCGCAUGUCAUGGUGGUGGAAAGCUUUUGUGGUUUUGGAUGGACUCGCGGCCUAUCAGCUUGUUGGUGGGGUAAUGGCCUACCAAGGCGACGACGGGUAGCCGGCCUGAGAGGGUGACCGGCCACACUGGGGCUGAGGAACGGCCCAGACUCCUACGGGAGGCAGCAGUGGGGAAUAUUGCACAAUGGGCGGAAGCCUUAUGCAGCGACGGCGCGUGAGGGAUGACGGGCUUCGGGUUGUAAACCUCUUUCAGGAGGGAAGAAGCGAAAGUGACGGUACCUGCAGAAGAAGCGCCGGCUAACUACGUG
rnacentral:rRNA from 1 species